CCGCUCCGCCGCCGUUGUAUUGCGCUUAUUUGGUGGUCUUCGUGGCAUAGGAGAAGGUGGAAAGGCCGUCGCAGGCAGGUAGACACACAUGUCUCUCAGACAGCUUUCGCUGGCACCUCACGGCGUGCGUCGCGGUCUCUCUUUUGCGCUGUGCACCUCUAUCACACUCGGAUGCACAAUGUCUGUGCGCCACGGCUGUUGUAUCCACCGCCUGUGCGAAGCGCCCGUAGCUCCGUCGAGCACAAAUACCAACUUCGCAGUCGCGUCAGCCGUCGGUGGCGCCGCGUCGCGCUCGACAUCCACGGCAUGCUCCUCACCGCUCUUCUGGUUUGAGCUGGAUCGGCUUCCACCGCAGCUGCAACGCGAGUUUGACGUCGACGCGAACCAACGCGCUCUCCGCCAUCUGUGGCGCCCCACACGCGCGGGCACCGACAGUGAUGGCGCCUCAGCAGUCCCGUUCAACCUGCCCGUGACGCCAUCCAGUGUUCACCCGGUCGUCUGGCGCUGCACCCACUGCCAGUCGCAGUGGUCCGCCCGACCAUCCGACCGCACGAACCCUCAACUCGCUGAUGCGCACCGAUGCCCGCGUUGCUACGGCGGCCAACCUUUACCCGCUGGAUCGCCCGACACCCCAACCUCGCCAGAUGCUGGAGCACAGCCGGGACCGUCCUCUCGGCCGUCCACCGCCGCCACCGGCGUCGGCCUCUUGUGUGACUCCUACCCUUUCCUCGCUGCGCAAUGGGACCCGCUGCGCAACCAACUCCUGCAGAAUCAGGUGCUACAGUCUGUGACGGAGGUGCGCACGUCCUCUGCCUCGAUGGUGUGGUGGCGCUGCCCACUUUGCUUGUCUCCGUGGCUGGAAUCCGUAUCGAGUCGGGUGGCGCGAUACGGUCUCGCCAUGCAGCGUCACUCUGUGCCCUCGAAGCCAAGCCUUUCACGCACGGGCACCACCCCUGGUAACGACCCUAGCAGGCCCGCUGGCGAGCUCGUGCUUCUCUGCCCGUCGUGUGAGCGUCGCGGUGCGAGUUCCAGUGGCGCCAUAAGCCCCGCCAGCCCGCGACGCUGGCUGGCUGAUGACGCCCUGCUCCUCGGCGAAGCGCUCCUGCGUCCACAUCAAGACCCGCAGCGAGUCUCGCUGACAAGCGAAACGAUGCUCCAGUGGCGGUGCCGCAGCUGCCAGUUCGAGUACGCCGCCACGGUAGCGAACCGGUUCCUUCGUCAUGAGCGAUGCCCGCAGUGCUCCGGGAGGACGAAAAGCAUGCACAACCUGCUGGUGGUGCAGCGGCCUGAUGUGGUGAGGGAGGUGAGCAAGCACAUCUCACGUACGCGGCUGCGCUACAUCACCAUCCACGACGACGUCGAGCUCCCCUUUGUGUGUCGCACCUGUUACGCGCCGUACCGCAUGACAGCGCGUGCCCGCUGCGCCGUGCCGCGUGGUGUACCGGCGUGCUCUAAGUGCUUCCUGACGAGCUCACAAGUACUCACCGAGGCUCAGCAUCAGCACCAGCACGGAGGCGCCAAGGCGCUCUCGGCCCGCGCGCGGCGACGGGUGCGGCAGAGGGCACUGCAACUCAGCCGCAGCCACCGCCAUCGGGAGCGACUCGCUGCCACGCUGAAUGAGCUCAGCCACCACGACAACGCCUUGAAGGACUGAACACACGGACACGUGCGUCGCCCUGCGUCUCUGUCUUCACGUAACACGUGGUGGGUGACGAUACAGCGGAAAUUUCCCUAGACCUCAUUGCCGUUGAUGGAUGUAAGCGCGAGGGCGGAGGGCGCAUCGCCGACCAUGUCCGACCUCCACACCGGAAAACGAGGGCAAGACACCCUUCUCCUGUGUGUGUGUGUGUGUGUGUGUGUGUGUGUGUGUGUGUGUGCUUGUGUGCCUCUUGUAAUCUCUCGGACACCAUGAUGAUGCAUGACUGGCGAAGAGCGGCAGGCAGGAACCUCCUGCCCACCCACCCCUGUCUCGCAGCCGCGACAUAUUCGCCUCCCCCAUCUGCGCCUACCCCACUCCCCUCCCGAACUCCUCCUCCUCCUGCCAACCUUCCUCGUCACACCUUCGGCGCGCACACCCCCACCCUUCCACUCGGAUUAG
rnacentral:misc_RNA from 1 species